ACAACCUCACCUUUAAUACUGACAAGACGAAGGAGGCAACAGUGGACAUGAGGAAGGAGAGGAGACCUCGUCAGCUACUGUUCACUUGAGGUAGAGCGAGUUUUAAAUAUCUGGGCUUUCACAUCAGCGAGAACCUCACUUGGACACUGAACGCCACACAGCUGGUUAAGAAGGCUCAACAGCGGCUGCACUUCCUGAGGAGACUGAGGAAGUUUGGUAUGUCACCUAAGAUCCUCAGCAGCUUCUACAGGCGCGCUGUUGAGAGGAUCCUGACCAGCUGCAUCACCUGCAGAAAGUGGUGACUCCACUACCCUCCCUGCAGAGCAUCUCCCAUCACAGAGUCCACAGGAGAGCUGCCCCCUAUCAAGGAUCCCACCCACCCCCAACACGAACUGUUCACACUUCUACCGUCGGGUCGGAGAGACGAUGACCAGCCUGGAUCAUCUACAACCGCAGUAACAACGACACGCAGGCCUGCACGGAGGAGGCGUGGGAAAUCAAACCAGGUCAAGAUCUCCACGAGCCCCGUCAGGACAGCCACACCACAGCUCUGAACCCUGGAAAACUGAAAGUGAUCUUGAUGCUGUCCCACAAGCCAGUAGGUUCAGCCCAGGUGAACACACAUUCAACACGCUCACCAGUGGACUUUUUCCAGCUCCAUUUCUCCAAGGAUACAAAGAGGACACUCUGCAGAAACACCAACAAACAAGCAGCAAAAAACACAACAAAACAGGGAAGAAGUACAAACCAACGCUGCCCCCAAGUGGACAAAAAACAAACAAACCUCAGUGUGACGUGUGGAGAGUGACAAAGCUAGGAAGAAAUAAAUGCCUUUAGCUGCAUCUGCUUUUGUUGGAAAUAAAUAAACAAAUAAACACAACA